AUGGGCGAUGGCAUUGCACUCCCAAGUCAAGUCACACCACACCGUUCUCGCUCGGCUCAGGCCUCACGCGCAAACAUGAGGGUCUUCGGGCUCCUCGCUUUCGCCGGCUGCGCGGCGCUGCUCGCGGGUGCCGGCGGGCAGCAGGAGGCCGGCGUGCCGUCGAUCAUCACCCGGGAGAAGUUCGACGCCAUGCUGAGCAACCGCAGCAAAGGCAGCUGCGAGGGCGGCGCGUUCUACACCUACGACGCGUUCGUCAAGGCCACGAGCAACUUCCCUGCCUUCGGCAACACCGGCGACGACAAGACCCGCAGACGGGAGCUCGCCGCCUUCUUCGGGCAGACCUCCCAAGAAACCGUCGAAUCUUCGUCUCCUCGGAACGGAACCGGGCUUCUGACCGGAAUCUCUGUAGGUUCUAUGUUGUUUUUGCUCGUUUUCGUCACUUUGAUCUGUCUCCUCCUACGGCGAAACCGGGCGGAAAACCAUCACCGAGCAACGGAGCAAGGGCUAUCAGAGGCCGGCUUCUUUGAUGACAAUCAGAGCAUGGAAGAAGACUUCGAGAAAGGAACCGUGCCCAAGCGGUUUUGCUACAGCGACUUGGCCAUGGCCACCGACAACUUUUCCAACGAUAAGAAGCUCGGACAAGGGUGCUUCGGCUCGGUGUACAAAGGAUUCCUCAAGGAACUGGACCUUCACGUGGCCAUCAAAAAAGUCUCCAAGGACUCCAAGCAGGGGAGGAAGGAGUAUGCCUCUGAGGUGAGGGUCAUAAGCCGGCUUCACCACAAGAACCUCGUGGAGCUUAUUGGGUGA
rnacentral:rRNA from 1 species